GUUGUCAUUUCAUUUAAUUUUUCUUUGUUUUUUUAAUUCCUAGGGUCCUCCUGCAUUGGUGCUCAGACAUUUAUAUUGAGCUUUGACUGAGAGGUUGUCAACAACCACAUCACUUUCUUCACAUCUGCCAUCUGCCUGAUGUUUGGCAGUUACUACUGCUUCAACAUACACUGCCUGGUAAAACUACAGUCCACACUUGAGUUCCUCCAACGGGAAAAAUUGAAUUCUUUAUCAUUAUUAGAAUUACAAAUAGUUCCUAGCAUACCCUGCAUGCAGUAAUACUGAGUAAACUCAGUAAAUAAGUACACAAGAAGAGUAAAAAAGUGUUAUUGGUCAGUCCCAGAGUCUUGACACUGAUCUCAGACCUUGCCAACCAUGAGUGGACCUACCAGUGAUGUCGAGGGAUGACGUUUGAUAUGAUAUACACUGCAGAUAUUUUGUUGUUAAGGGAGUUUCUUCUCAUCUACAGAGGCACCAAAGUUGAGUGUGAAAAGAAGAAAAUAAUCGCUGGCUUUUUCAAACUGUUACAGUUUGUGAGUAGAGUGUUUUUACGUUUUUACUGCAGUUUAUUGUGCUGGCAAAGUUGGAAAAGUUUGGACUUCAAAUAAAGAGUUUGUAUUGAAAAGUAC